UGGCUCCCUUCUCUCCGUCUG
rnacentral:miRNA from 1 species